GCCUCUCCCCAGCCUACAAUCAAGCGCGCAUGCCCGGUGCACGUGCUCACCCACAGGUCGCUGUCGCAGCUGCCACAGGCUGAGCUCAGGGUCUUAGCAGCUCCACCGCUGGUGCUGUCUCUCUGGGCUCCGCGCUGCGCCUGGCCUCACCCGCAACAGAGCACGGAUUUGCACAUUCCCGGUCACUCACAGCCUGCCAGGCCCCCCCGUGCCUGCCCGCUUCCCCCACCACUGGUUCAGUGGCCACCAAGCAUGCAUUAGCAGCUGCUGCCACUUGCUCCCAUCAGCGGCUGCACUUCCCUGAGCUGUGCCCCGCACCACUCUUGUCCCCACAAGACUGGGUGCAGCGAUUCCAGCACACCCCGAGACCCGCUCACCUGCCCGCCUGCCCCAGCCCAGCUCUGCCCCCCCCCCCCCCAGCUUCCCAAUCACCUAGCGAGCUUGCUGCCCGCCUGAUCGCCUGGCCUCCCAGAGUUGCACAGAUCAACCAGGCCAUGCAGCCUGAUUUUACCCCUUCUGUCCAUAGGAUUUCACGGCUACUUAUAGCCGCAUGUCCCCAGGCCUUUCCCUCCCCAAAUCUGUUUGCUAAUUUAUAUACAAGCUGUUGUUAAAAUUUUCAGGUUCUUUUUGGUGAAAAAUCAAUCUUCUGCAGGGAAGCCGUGUUUCCAGAAGCAGUGUUUACACCUCCGCCAUCUGUUGGCCAAGCCGGGGAACUACAGAUGAUUUAACACUGCAGAACGUUAGAAAUCUCAUGGCCAACUGUGGAGAGCUGUGACGUGCUUCCGCCUACCACCCUCCCGACGAAGACUGUUCAAGGUUCCCGAAUAAAACUGCUUGGAGAAGAGUUCCCAAGUCACAUCUUCCUUGCUGGUCGAGGCAGUCAUGACAACUGGUGGCCCGUAUGGGGAACAGCUGAGGUCUCAGAACUUCUUGUGGUCAGGGCAGUGCACUGGUAAGUCCCCAGGUAAGCGGGGUAUCCGCGUCAAGACUGGGAAAAUAACCACGACAAAAGUGGGGUAAGGACCGCGACAAAAGCAGGGUUUUGUUGCUCCCUCUGUGGAUAAAGAUGGAGCGUCUUCGGCCUGCAAGAGCGCCAAAUCGAAAGUAAAAGGAGUGGAGGUCGUUUAUGGAUCCUUUUCUGCUCCUGGCUAUCUGGGUCUUUCCUUUUUGCCUGCUGCUGUGGAGAGUGCGUUGAAAGUUCCCAUUGGACAGGACAACUGGGUUUUCAAAGAUUUAAAGAUGGGAAACUCUACUUCUCACCCCAAUUUUUCUGGCUCUAAGUGAACUGCUUUGUUCAAAAAAUUUAAAGAUUAAAAAAGGUACUCUAAAACGUUUCUUAGAGGAGUGUGAUACCAUUGCACCCUGGUUCGCGAUCUCCAGAAGCCUUACUAUCCCUUCAUGGGAAAAGCUAGGCAAGGACCUUGAUUUUGCCGCAGAUCAGGGGACACUCAAGGCUGGGGUGAGGCCAGUUUGGAGACUGGUAAAGAGCUGUCUUGAGGAUCAAAAGUGCAGUGAGGCAGUGGAGAAUGGACAAGCAGCCCUAGAAAUGUUACAGGAAGAGAGGUCUGGACAUACAAGCACUGAAAGGGAGAGCACAAAGGGAAAAGGGGUUUACCCUGACCUUAAAGGCCUGGACGGGACGGAUACCUCUGAUGCCGAGGAAGGGUCAAAGACAGGGGAUGAGCAGGAACAGCGACAGGUGACAUCAGCGCUAAAAGGACUAAGGCUAAAGGAGAAGAGAACAGACAAAGGAGGGCCGUCCAGGGGCAUUGGCUUGCCUUCUGCUCCCCCUCCCCCGCCCUAUAAUCACUCAGGCGGUACGGGCACUGGAGCCUCCCGUUGCCCCUAGGUUUGGCGACAGGUCCAGGCUGACUUGCCAGUGGCAUUUCCAGUGUUCACUGACCCACAGGGGCAGAGGUAUUAUGAGCCCUUAGACUUUAAAACAGUCAAGGCCCUGGUGGAGUCGGUGAGAACAUAUGGGGUCUCUGCACCCUUUACUGUCUCCCUCAUGGAAACCCUCACCCGUCUCUGCAUAACGCCUACUGAUUGGAUGAAUCUAGCCCACGCCUGUCUCAGCCCAGGGCAGUACUUAGAGUGGAAGGCAUUUUUCAGUGAGUUUGCAGAAGAACAGGCGGCAAUUAACCAGACUAUGGGUGGCCCCGAAAGAGCUGGCUGGAAUAAGGAAAUGCUCCUCGGCCAGGGUCCCUACACAGUUCAGCAGACAGGCUACUCCAUUCAGUUUGAUCAGGUUAAUCAGAUUGCCAUUAGAGCCUGGAAAUCCACACCCAACAAAGGGGGGGGGGGGACAGGUAACCUCACAAAGGUAAUACAGGAGCCCAUGGAGCCAUUUGCUGAUUUUGUUACCCGCAUGAUUGAGGCUGCUGAGAGUGCUUGGAAAUGCCGAGGCAGCCAUGCCCUUGAUAAAGCAGCUGGUAUACGAGCAAUGCACUAAGGAAUGCAGGACUGCUAUCACCCCUUAUAAAAUAGAGGGAUGGAGACAUGGACAAAAAUCUGCAGGGAACUUGGCAGGCCGCUAACCAAUGCUGGCCUUGCAGCCGCAGUAGUCCAGUUAACCCGGGGCACGAAAGGGAACCCGGGUGCCUGCUUUAGAUGCGGCAAAAUAGGACAUAUGAAAAAGGAAUGUCCAGAAAGAGUGAGGGAGACUUAGUAGGCGGCUUUGACCGUCGGCAGCCUGGUCUAUGUCCCAAAUGCAGGAAGGGAAAACAUUGGGAAAAUGAGUGCCGGUCGGUAAAGGAUAUCAAUGGCCGGCCACUUGAGGCAGAGGUCGACAAUGCCCGGCAAAAAAAUGUCCCGUGGGGCCCCCGCCCUCAGGGCCCACAAAUAUAUGGGGCAAUGGAGAAUCAGGAAGGAGGAUGGGAACGGGGGACUUGGCCAACUCUCCGACACCCCAAGAACCAAGGAGAGCCACUACAGGCUCAGCGGGAUUGGACCUCCAUUCCACCGCCCGACUCCUAUUGACUCCCCAAAUGGGGGUCCAGUUAGUGGAGGCAGAUUUUCAGGGACCCCUGGAGCCAGGCACAGUGGGGCUUCUCUUGGGAAGAUCCUCCACUACCUUGAGAGGCCUCAGAGUGCAUCCAGGGAUAAUUAACCCAGACUAUGCCGGCACAAUAAAGAUCAUGGUAGAAUCACCCAGGGGAGUGACAGUUAUCUCCCCUGGGGACCAGAUCGCCCAGCUUUUGCUUUUGCCCAGUCUCCAUGAGCAAUUCGCUGCACAGCCUAAGAAAAGGGGGAAGAUUGUUUUGGAUCCACGGGGACAGACCUAGGUUUUCUGUCUCUGGACUUAAACCAGAGACCAGUCCUAGAACUUGACAUAGAUGGCAAAUAGGAUCUAGGCUUACUAGAUACAGGGAAAGACAGAAGUAUAACUGCUAAAAAAGACUGGCCUACAGGCUGGCCCAUACAGGCUCUUCUCAAACCCUACAAGGGCUAGGUUAUGCACAGGCACCGGAUAGGAGUGCUAGACAAUUACAAUGGAAGGAUGAGGAAGGUCAUUCUGGCACUAUUCAGCCUUACGUCCUGGAACUUCCGGUUUCCUUAUGGGGAAGAGAUCUUAAAGACAUGGGCUUUAGGCUGAGCAAUGAAUAUUCACCUGCUUCCCAAAAAAUGAUGAAAACCAUGGGGUAUCAUCCAAAUUACGGAAUAGGGAGGUACCUACAAGGAAGAAGGGAGCCGAUCCAAAUGCAGCAGAGAGAUUCCAGGCAGGGGCUGGGUUUUUCCUAGGGGCCACUGAGGAAGGAAUUCCCAUUACUUGGAAGACAGAGGAGCCUGUAUGGGUUCCUCAGUGGCCGCUGUCCUCUGAAAAACUGAGUGCGGUGAAGGCCCUGGUGGCUGAACAGCUAGCAUUAGGACAUAUUAAACCAUCUUUGUCUCCGUGGAACACCCCCAUUUUUGUUAUUAGAAAAAGGUCAGGAAAAUGGCGCCUGCUACAUGAUCUAAGAGCCAUCAAUAAUCAGAUGCAGCCUAUGGGCCCAGUACAACGAGGGCUACCAUUGCUCUCUGCUUUGCCGGCGUCCUGGCAUAUUAUUGUGAUUGACAUAAAAGAUUGUUUUUUCUCUAUUCCUCUUUUUGGAGGGGAUAGUGAAAGAUUCGCCUUUACUCUUCCAUCUCAUAAUCACGAAGAACCUGAUCAGAGAUUCGAAUGGGUGGUGUUGCCACAAGGAAUGGCCAAUAGCCCCACCAUGUGCCAACUUUAUGUUGGGCAGGCCAUUAAGCCGCUGAGAAAAGAAUUCCCUACCCUAAGACGUUUCCAUUAUAUGGAUGAUAUAUUAUUGGCUGCAAAAGCAGAAGAGCCACUGAAGAAGGCCUAUGUAAAACUAGUGAAAUUACUAGAAGGAAAAGGGCUAUUUAUUGCCCCUGAAAAGGUUCAAAAGGAAACAAUUAUACAUUACUUAGGUCCUAAAAUUAAUGAGAGUUGUGUAGUUCCACAAAAGGUAGAAUUGAGAAAGGAUAAUUUAAAGACCCUAAACAAUUUUCAAAAAUUAUUAGGAGAUAUAAACUGGAUUAGAUGUUUUUUAAGGCUACUGAAUUAUGAGUUAAAACCUCUGAAUGAUGUAUUGAAUGGAGAUCCGGCUUCAGAUUCCCCUAGGCAGCUGACCCCUGAGGCAAAGCUUGCCCUACAGAGGGUGGAAGAAAGGCUACAAGGUGCCUUUUUACAGAGAUGUAGAGAGGGACAACCCAUCAUUAUGUGCAUCCUUCCUACUUAUUAUCAACCUACAGGUUUGCUCUGGCAAGAGGGGCCAUUAUUGUGGAUAUACCCCCAAAAUAUCUCCUGCAAAAUCCAUUGAGUAUUAUCCCACUGAGGUGGCAAAAUUAGCCUUAAAUGGUAUCCAACAGUGCCCCUAAAAUGAUUGUGGUGCCUUAUUCCAGUCAUCAAGUCCAUGUUCUUUGCACCACAAUUGAUGAUUGGGCCAUCCUGUAAUGCAGAUUUAAUGGAGAUAUAGAUAAUCAUUACCCUAAACAUCCAUUGUUAGGAUUUUUCAAGGAACACCCUGUGAUUUUCCCAAAGAUAACUUCAAUCCCGGGUGCCCCCAAUGUGUUCACAGAUGGCUCCAAAACGGGUUGUGGAGCUUAUAUGGUGGAGGCGCAACAACCUAUACUGCAUCAGUUCCACCCCGGCUCCCCUCAACUAGUGGAGUUAAAGAUCGUGAUAAAAGUCUUCGAGGACUGUUAUUUGCCUUUAACUUAAUAUCUGAUUCUGCCUAUGUUGUUAAUGCUGUGAAAAUGUUAGAGGCUGCUGGCCCUAUAAAGGCCAGUAGUCCAGUUUGUUUGUUGUUUCAGCAGCUUCAAAAUUUAAUUUGGUGUAGAAAAAUUGCUUUUAUAUAGCAUGUGAGGGAACGCACAGGCCUUCCAGGUCCUCUUAGCGAGGGCAAUGAUUGGAUUGAUCAAUGGACUAGAGUGGAACUCAUUUUCCUUGGCUCCACCCUAGAUAAGGCAAGAGACUUUCAUAGGAAUUUUCAUGUGAAUACUAAGACCCUACAACAAAAGUUCCACCUUUCCCGAGCUGAUGCUCAGCAAGUGGUCCUGGACUGCUCUCAAUGUGUAAUUCAUCAUCACCCGCCCAAUUAUGGAAUUAAUCCACGGGGGUUACUCCCCCUCAAAAUUUGGCAGAUGGACGUCACUCACAUCUCUGAAUUUGGAAAUCUCAAAUAUGUACAUGUGUCUGUGGAUACCUGCUCAGGUAUCAUGCAUGCGACACUCUUGACAGGUGAAAAGGUGUGCAAUGUUAUAACACAUUGCCUUGAAGCCUGGGCUGCCUGGGGCAAACCCAGCCAGCUACAAACUGACAAUGGACCAGCCUACACGGCACAAACCUUUGCCUCCUUCUGCCAGCAAAUGGAAGUACAGUUACUCCAUGGAUUGCCCUAUAACCCUCAGGGUCAGGGUAUUGUGGAGCGUGCCCAUCGCACCUUGAAAGAAUGUCUAGAAAAACAAAAAGGGGGAGUAAGCCAAGGCCGCACCCCUAAGGAAAGGCUUUCUCUUGCCUUAUUCACUAUCAAUUUUUAAAAUUUGGAUGCCCAGGGACACUCUGCGGCUGAUAGACAUCAGGAUCCACAUGGCCCAGUCAAAGGGAUGGUGAAGUGGAAGGAUAUUCUGACAGGCCUCUGGCGCGGGCCUGAUCCCGUGCUGACAUGGGCACGAGGUUCUGUUUGUGUUUUUCCACAGGACCAGCAAGAUCCAGUGUGGGUCAGAAGGAUUCAACAUGGAGGACAUCUCAAGCGCCAGCAUGAUGACCCUCCUACUCCUUCUCAUGAUGAGCCAGCCGGAAAUGGCAGCACAAAGAUGGGGUAGUCUGUCGGUAUUCCCUAAGCCCAUGCCGGUGAUGCAUAAUGCGAGGGUUUUAUCAUGCCUAUUUGUUACCAAUCGCAGCUUAGAUCUCCCCUUUUUACCCCGAGAUGAGCAGAUCAGCCCCAUUGAGGAUGCGCGCCAUUUUGAUUUGCAGGGCAGCCUAUGUUUCUCUCUAUUAAGUAAUACAAGCUCAGGGUGCAUUCUCCUCAAGUACCAAGCCAUGGGGGAGGGGGGCGCAGGCUGGGAUGUGUCACAGGGAAGGAAUGUAUCCUGGAUUCAGGGGUGGUGGCCUGCCAAAGAAGGAUCUGGUUACCCACCAUUCCAACCCAUGUGGGCACCCUUUUGCGUAGAGGGCCCUCAGUGCCAGGGAAGCCUUCCAUGGUCAGGCUGCCAGAGUAGGGAGAUCAUUUGGGCAAAGGAGAAUUAUUUCUCCUUCUCCCCUGAUAUAAGUGUAAACAGUUCUCAGGCACCUGUUAAUGAGUCUUCCCCACAUUGGUAUAAGUUAGAUGCCUUUAAUAUAUGGCUGUUAGGUGGAAUCAACGGGAAUUGUAUGGAUUUAUCUCCUUUGGCAAUGGUUGGGGGACACUAGGAAUCUCUACCCACUCCUAAAAGAGUGGAGGAGAUGUAACCUCAAGUUCCCCCUUUCAGUGGAAGAGCAUUAAUAAUACCACCUUUUUACCCACCCCUGUGUGCGUUUGGCCGCCAUUUGUAUGGCUGGUGAGCAAUGGUAGCACAAAUGCCAGUGAACUCCAUUGUAAUCAGACCACAUGCUUUUAUGUUCUGUGCUGGAAUGCUAUGGCCUUCCCUCUGACGAUGGUUACCACUUGCCUCGUUAUGUGCCUGUGCCCGUGGAAGCUCCCAGCAGUUUGACAUAGUUUAGAGAGAUGUGAGAUUUUGGCAUAACAGCAGCCAUAGUGACAACCAUCACCGUUGCUGCUGUGAGUGCCACUGUUUCCGCGGUGGCCUUGUCAGGCACGGUGCAGACUGCAAAUGUUCUAAAUAAUCUCUCUGCCAAUGUUGCUAAUGCAUUAGACCUCCAAGCUUCGCUUAAUUCGCAGGUCAAAGGAGGUCAAAUCAGUGCAUAGAUUUAAUGCAGGAACAGAUUGAUACUCUGUGACAGUUAGCCCAACUGGGAUGUGAAUGGAGAAUGGCUGGACUAUGUGUUACAUCAGUACAAUAUCAAAAUUUCACUCACGCGGUGAACCUGUCUAAAAGGUUGUCUCAGUUUUUAUUACAGAAUUGGACAUCUGAGUUUGAAGAUACCAUGAGAGAACUCCGGAUGGCUAUUGUGCAUGUGAACUCCAUUCAAGUAGACCUGUCCCUUGCUAGUGGCCUGUCUUCCUGUUUAAAUUCCGCCAUGGACCAUCUAAAGGAAUGGGCGGGCCUGGGGGUGCUUACAGGCCUUUUGGUACUGGUCUCCCUGGUUUGCCUAUGGUGUAUUUGCAAGAUUAGAGUCACACAAAAGCGUGAUGCAGCCAUGAUCACCCAAGCCUUUAUGGCCAUAGAGGCAGGACAGUCCCCCCAGGCCUGGUUGACCGUUAUUAAGAACUGAAAUUCCUCUCCGACCGGGGUGCAAGGCUAAGCGCUGCACGAGGGUUUGCUUGUAAGCAGUUAAGCUACCCUCGGAAGACAAGCCGAUUGCAUGAAGGUUGUACCCGAGAUCCUUCCCCUGGGAAAAUAGGUAUGGGAUGGGUCUGGGCCACCGUAGGCAUAGAGUCUGUGGAUGUCACCAGCACAUUAUCCCAGGUCUGCACACCAGGGAUUGGGCCUCUAUCUUCACCCAUUCUGUCUUUAAUUAAAGAAGGGGGAACUGUGGAGAGCUGUGUCGUGCCGCACCUUAAAGAUGGCGCCGGCUUCCGCCUACCACCCUCCCAACGGUGAGCGCUCUCUGAGUAAACAACUCCAUAUUUGGCCAAGGCUUGGGUCCACAGCUUGCUUCCGUAUGUGUGGACCUAUCUGCUAUCGCCAAGUGGCGUGCUAGGUUGGCUAUGCCUAGGCCAUAUAAGCUGUGGGCUGGCUUUCCCCGGGGUCAGAAGAUUGUUCAAGGUUCCUGAAUAAACUGCUUGGA